UGAGAGCAGGUCUGGAGCUCUAGGCCAAUCACUCCUCAUGACUCCCAGGUGGGAUCUGGAGCUCGGUCUUCAGUCAGCUGUGAUCAACACAGUCUCCACAAGCCACCUCGACACACAGAGCCUGUACAAAUUCCAAUACCAACCGCAUGACUGAGGACGUAACAACAGCAUAUAAAAACACCAUAUGGACAUGUUAACAAGUACCACCCAGCUGUCCGGAUCCCCUCCUGACCUGUCUGCCCCCAGCAAUGCUCCCCUCCUUGGAUUCCCUCUUCGGCUCCCCUCCUGCGCCCCGGAUCCACCUGCCGGCCCUGCACUCCUAGACCACCCGCACCUGGCCUCCUCCUUCCCGCGACAUCCAUGCCUCCAACCCUCCUGCUGCCGCCAGGGAUCCAUCCGCUGCCCAGCCGUUGCACUCUGGUCCCCCCCAGAACCACCUCGACCGCUGAUCCCUGGCUCCGGCGCCCCAUCCCCGGACCUUCUCCACCACACCCUUCCGGACUCUCCCCUGGCUCUCCACUCCUCCACUACUCCCCACCCCCCGGCAAUAAAUCACUCACUUAAACCUG